GCCGAAAAAAUUUGUCAAAAUCCGAUUCUUCCUCUUUUAACCGCCUCUACAACCCUUAUCCGACCUCUCUAGACUAUAUCCACCCUUUGUAUAGCCUAAUGUCAUCAAAAGACUAGAUAGGAAUGGAUAUUUACCUUUUCUUUUGGAAAUCGAGGUCCUUGCGUAGAGGAGAAGGAGAUCUACACUUUUUUCUUCAGCUGGAAGUGCAACCGGGAUCCCUUUCCCUCUCGAAUCCCCUUCCUCUUCUUCUUUCUUCUUCUUCUUCUU
rnacentral:lncRNA from 1 species